rnacentral:rRNA from 1 species
GGAGUCUAACAUGUGCGCGAGUCACUGGGACCGAUCUAAACCCAGAGGCGCAGUGAAAGCGUGGGGCGCGCCCGGUACGCCGGGCCGCCUCUAAGGGAGGACGGUCGGUCGCUCCAGACCGGGGCGGCCGGCAAGCACUCCCGGGGCGCCUCGGCCCAGGCCGCAGGCGCACCCGGAGCGCACACGUUGGGACCCGAAAGAUGGUGAACUAUGCCCGGCCAGGACGAAGUCAGGGGAAACCCUGAUGGAGGUCCGCAGCGAUUCUGACGUGCAAAUCGAUCGUCAGAGCUGGGUAUAGGGGCGAAAGACUAAUCGAACCAUCUAGUAGCUGGUUCCCUCCGAAGUUUCCCUCAGGAUAGCUGGCGCCGAGUUGGAAAGGGACCAGUCUCAUCCGGUAAAGCGAAUGAUUAGAGGCCUUGGGGCCGAAACGACCUCAACCUAUUCUCAAACUUUAAAUGGGUGAGAUCUCCGGCUUGCUUGAGCGAAGCCGCGAGAAGAGAGCUCCGGCUCUCCCUCGGAUGAUGGUGCCAAGUGGGCCAAUUUUG